AGAGUUUGAUCCUGGCUCAGGAUGAACGCUAGCUACAGGCUUAACACAUGCAAGUCGAGGGGCAGCAUGAAAGGAACUUCGGUUCUUUUUGAUGGCGACCGGCGCACGGGUGCGUAACGCGUAUCGAACCUGCCUCAUACUCGGGGAUAGCCUUGCGAAAGUAAGAUUAAUACCCGGCGGUCUCGGACGGCCGCAUGACUGUCCGAGUGAAGAUUUAUCGGUAUGAGAUGGCGAUGCGUCCCAUUAGCUAGUUGGUGAGGUAAUGGCUCACCAAGGCAUCGAUGGGUAGGGGUUCUGAGAGGAAGGUCCCCCACAUUGGAACUGAGACACGGUCCAAACUCCUACGGGAGGCAGCAGUGAGGAAUAUUGGUCAAUGGGCGAGAGCCUGAACCAGCCAAGUAGCGUGCAGGAUGACGGCCCUAUGGGUUGUAAACUGCUUUUAUAAGGGAAUAAAGUGAGUCUCGUGAGACUUUUUGCAUGUACCUUAUGAAUAAGGACCGGCUAAUUCCGUGCCAGCAGCCGCGGUAAUACGGAAGGUCCGGGCGUUAUCCGGAUUUAUUGGGUUUAAAGGGAGCGUAGGCCGGAGAUUAAGCGUGUUGUGAAAUGUAGACGCUCAACGUCUGCACUGCAGCGCGAACUGGUUUCCUUGAGUACGCACAAAGUGGGCGGAAUUCGUGGUGUAGCGGUGAAAUGCUUAGAUAUCACGAAGAACUCCGAUUGCGUAGGCAGCUCACUGGAGCGCAACUGACGCUGAAGCUCGAAAGUGCGGGUAUCGAACAGGAUUAGAUACCCUGGUAGUCCGCACGGUAAACGAUGGA
rnacentral:rRNA from 1 species